rnacentral:misc_RNA from 1 species
CACAAUCCUGCUAGAAUUGAGUUGGAUCAGGUGCAAGAGUCACUAGAUUCAACUUGGAUAAGAACUUAUCAAGAACAGCAGCAGGAAGAGACUUGGUAAAAAUAUCUGCCAGUUGUAGAGAAGAAGAAAUAUGUGCUGGAGCUAUGAAACCUUUUUGCAACUGAUCUCACACAAUAUGACAAUCAAUAUCAAUGUGUUUAGUCCUCUCAUGGAAGACU